AGAGUUUGAUCAUGGCUCAGGAUGAACGCUGGCGGCGUGCUUAACACAUGCAAGUCGAACGAACCUUCGGGUUAGUGGCGGACGGGUGAGUAACGCGUGAGAAUCUGCCCUCAGGAGGGGGAUAACGGUUGGAAACGACCGCUAAUACCCCAUAUGCCUACUGGUGAAAUGAAUUUCGCCUGAGGAUGAGCUCGCGUCUGAUUAGCUAGUUGGUGAGGUAAUGGCUCACCAAGGCAUCGAUCAGUAGCUGGUCUGAGAGGAUGAUCAGCCACACUGGGACUGAGACACGGCCCAGACUCCUACGGGAGGCAGCAGUGGGGAAUUUUCCGCAAUGGGCGAAAGCCUGACGGAGCAACGCCGCGUGAGGGACGAAGGCCUCUGGGCUGUAAACCUCUUUUAUCAAGGAAGAAGAUAUGACGGUACUUGAGGAAUAAGCCACGGCUAAUUCCGUGCCAGCCGCCGCGGU
rnacentral:rRNA from 1 species